rnacentral:rRNA from 1 species
GGGAGUACGGCCGCAAGGCUGAAACUCAAAGGAAUUGACGGGGGCCCGCACAAGCGGUGGAGCAUGUGGUUUAAUUCGAAGCAACGCGAAGAACCUUACCAGGUCUUGACAUCCUCUGAAAACUCUAGAGAUAGAGCUUCUCCUUCGGGAGCAGAGUGACAGGUGGUGCAUGGUUGUCGUCAGCUCGUGUCGUGAGAUGUUGGGUUAAGUCCCGCAACGAGCGCAACCCUUGAUCUUAGUUGCCAUCAUUAAGUUGGGCACUCUAAGGUGACUGCCGGUGACAAACCGGAGGAAGGUGGGGAUGACGUCAAAUCAUCAUGCCCCUUAUGACCUGGGCUACACACGUGCUACAAUGGACGGUACAAAGAGCUGCAAGACCGCGAGGUGGAGCUAAUCUCAUAAAACCGUUCUCAGUUCGGAUUGUAGGCUGCAACUCGCCUACAUGAAGCUGGAAUCGCUAGUAAUCGCGGAUCAGCAUGC